UGGCACGACUCUGUGCUAAAAAAAAAAGGUCGAAAAAGACAAGGCAUGGCAAGCCGAUAGGGAAGGCAUUGCUCCGGGCAUGCCAAGACCAAGGGUGGCCAAGGCAUUGCUCACGGCAAAGCAAUUAAGGCAAAGGCAUAUGGCAAGCCGAUUGCUUGUCACCGGGCAAGGCAAUGCAUUGCUCACGACAUGCCAAGACCAAGGGUGGCCAAGGCAUGACUCACGGCAUGCCAAAACAAGGCGUGGCCAAGGCAAAGCCAUAACAAGGGUUGGCUCCCAAGUUGCUGGGUAACGGCUAAAAAGUUGCUGGAUAACGGCAACCAAGUUGUCGGGUAAGGCUGGGUAUCGGCUAAAAAGUUGCUGGGUAACGGCACCCAAGUUGCUGGGCAACGGCUAAAAAGUUGCUGGGAAAUGGCAACCAAGAUGUCGGGUAACGCUUGGUAUCGGCCAAAAAGUUGCUGGGUAACGGCAACCAGGUUGUCGGGUAACGCCGGGUGUCGGCUAAAAAGCAUAUGGCAAGCCGAUUGCUUGUCACCGGGCAAGGCAAUGCAUUGCUCACGACAUGCCAAGACCAAGGGUGGCCAAGGCAUGACUCACGGCAUGCCAAAACAAGGCGUGGCCAAGGCAAAGCCAUAACAAGGGUUGGCUCCCAAGUUGCUGGGUAACGGCUAAAAAGUUGCUGGAUAACGGCAACCAAGUUGUCGGGUAAGGCUGGGUAUCGGCUAAAAAGUUGUCGGGUAACGCCGGGUGUCGGCUAAAAAGUUGCUGGGUAACGGCAACCAAAUUGUCGGGUAACGCUGGGUAUCGGCUAAAAGAUUGCUGGGUAACGGCUAAGAAGUUGCUAGGCAACGGCAAACAAGUUGCUGGGUAACGGCUAAAAAGUUGCUGGGUAACGGCUAAAAAGUUGCUGGGUACCGGCUAAAAAGUAGCUUGUCGCCGGGCAAAUCAAUGCAAGCACCAAUAUGUUCUUGUCGAAACGCCCCAAAAACUCUUGUUUAGUCGCCAUCUUUUGGGACUUUCGCAAUGUUAGUUUUUAAUCUUUUUUAAUUUUUAUUUUUAGACGUUUUUAAGUCUUAAUUUAAACAUUUUCUAUUAUAGAUGCCUCAUUUUUCAACCCAAUAUAUUUACAUAAUUAUUGUGUAGCUUGUUUAUAAUUUUUCGUGAUUUUUUCUUACUUUUUUUGUAUUUUUUUGCAUUUUUGUCUAUUUAUUUUUUGUUUAAUUAAUAUAAAAUUAUCCUUUGGGCAAAAAAUUCUGAAUUUUUGUGUGGAGGUGCUCCAUAUUUUUGUGAAGAUGUCCCAAUUCAAAGUUCAUGAAAAAAAGUUGUGAUGCUCAAAAAAAACCCCGUUGCUUCAGUUCAGACACAUUGAUGUUCCUUCCUGCCACAAGGGCAAAGGCUAAUUUUACUACUAUAGGGGGGGGUGGUGUCCCUCCCUUGGGGAAGCCGUGGCCACCCGACGCCGGGUGCCAAGGCAUGUUGCUAUCGAGACCACCCGGGCAAUUCUUGGCCAUUUGGCCUCGGUUACUCGAGAAAACACUACCCGUCGGUAAUGCCUGGAAAAAAGACCGAAAUGCCCCUGAAUCGAAAUGCUAUUUUAAGCCAUCCCGAAAGGCAAAGCACGGCUCUAUCGGGCAGAGCAGGACUCUAUCGGGCAGUUGCUGGCCGUUUGGCCUCGAAUACCCCUGGAAUCACAUCCCCGUCAGUAAUGCUCGGAAGAAAAGACCAAAAUUCUCAUGAAACGGCAUGCUCUUUUAGCCGAGACGCGACUUUAUCGAGCAAAAACUAGAUUUCCUCUGCCUCGUUGCCUCGCUUACUCAAGAGAACCAGAUCCGUCAUUAAUGCUCGGAAAGAGCACCGAAAGGCCCUUGAAACGGCAUGCUACUAUAACCGGGUUUGGCAAAGGCGAAACUAGAUUUUGUUUGCCGUUUGGGUUAGGCUGUACCAGUCGCUAUCGUCCACCGCCUAGCCUUCCAAGUGUUUCCAUGUGUCUCCAAUGCCAUAAUGCCAUAGUGCCACCCCGUGACGCGCCCGCCCGCUUGGGUCUUUGAUAUAUAGCAUGUUUAGAAUUUUUUUUCUAAAUAUUCUUAUAUCAAA